UGCAUCGGGGAUUAGUGGCGAACGGGUGAGUAACACGUGAGUAACCUGCCCUUAACUCUGGGAUAAGCCUGGGAAACUGGGUCUAAUACCGGAUAUGACUCCUCAUCGCAUGGUGGGGGGUGGAAAGCUUUUGUGGUUUUGGAUGGACUCGCGGCCUAUCAGCUUGUUGGUGAGGUAAUGGCUCACCAAGGCGACGACGGGUAGCCGGCCUGAGAGGGUGACCGGCCACACUGGGACUGAGACACGGCCCAGACUCCUACGGGAGGCAGCAGUGGGGAAUAUUGCACAAUGGGCGGAAGCCUGAUGCAGCGACGCCGCGUGAGGGAUGACGGCCUUCGGGUUGUAAACCUCUUUCAGUAGGGAAGAAGCGARAGUGACGGUACCUGCAGAAGAAGCGCCGGCUAACUACGUGCCAGCAGCCGCGGUAAUACGUAGGGCGCAAGCGUUAUCCGGAAUUAUUGGGCGUAAAGAGCUCGUAGGCGGUUUGUCGCGUCUGCCGUGAAAGUCCGGGGCUCAACUCCGGAUCUGCGGUGGGUACGGGCAGACUAGAGUGAUGUAGGGGAGACUGGAAUUCCUGGUGUAGCGGUGAAAUGCGCAGAUAUCAGGAGGAACACCGAUGGCGAAGGCAGGUCUCUGGGCAUUAAC
rnacentral:rRNA from 1 species